AAGUCGUACGCACUGGCCCAACUAGAUUGAUGGUGCUUGCACCUGAUUGACGAUGGAUCACCAGUGAGUGGCGGACGGGUGAGUAACACGUAGGUAACCUGCCCCGGAGCGGGGGAUAACAUUUGGAAACAGAUGCUAAUACCGCAUAACAACAAAAGCCACAUGGCUUUUGUUUGAAAGAUGGCUUUGGCUAUCACUCUGGGAUGGACCUGCGGUGCAUUAGCUAGUUGGUAAGGUAACGGCUUACCAAGGCGAUGAUGCAUAGCCGAGUUGAGAGACUGAUCGGCCACAAUGGAACUGAGACACGGUCCAUACUCCUACGGGAGGCAGCAGUAGGGAAUCUUCCACAAUGGGCGCAAGCCUGAUGGAGCAACACCGCGUGAGUGAAGAAGGGUUUCGGCUCGUAAAGCUCUGUUGUUGGAGAAGAACGUGCGUGAGAGUAACUGUUCACGCAGUGACGGUAUCCAACCAGAAAGUCACGGCUAACUACGUGCCAGCAGCCGCGGUAAUACGUAGGUGGCAAGCGUUAUCCGGAUUUAUUGGGCGUAAAGCGAGCGCAGGCGGUUGCUUAGGUCUGAUGUGAAAGCCUUCGGCUUAACCGAAGAAGUGCAUCGGAAACCGGGCGACUUGAGUGCAGAAGAGGACAGUGGAACUCCAUGUGUAGCGGUGGAAUGCGUAGAUAUAUGGAAGAACACCAGUGGCGAAGGCGGCUGUCUGGUCUGCAACUGACGCUGAGGCUCGAAAGCAUGGGUAGCGAACAGGAUUAGAUACCCUGGUAGUCCAUGCCGUAAACGAUGAGUGCUAGGUGUUGGAGGGUUUCCGCCCUUCAGUGCCGGAGCUAACGCAUUAAGCACUCCGCCUGGGGAGUACGACCGCAAGGUUGAAACUCAAAGGAAUUGACGGGGGCCCGCACAAGCGGUGGA
rnacentral:rRNA from 1 species